rnacentral:tRNA from 1 species
UGUAAAAAAGUGUAUUGAUGCACAAGAAAUUUUGAUUUUCUUAGACAAGUUUAAAUCUUGAUUUUACAA